AUAUUAUGAUCAUCCCAAACUUGCAAUUAACUACAUCUAUAGAUUACUAGUUUUUGUUAGAAAUGACUUCUCUCUUCAGUGCCUCCAAUAAUAAUAUGAAGUCAUUUGUUGCUCUCUUGGCAAUACUUUUAUUACUCGUGUCAUCUAUCAUGGGUAUUGCUGCCCAAUCCAAUUUCAAACACGGGCGAAAACUUUUCCAACAAUACUCUGCACCCUCUUAUGGUUCAUUCCCUGGUGGUGGAGGAUAUAAAUAUCCAUGAAAUUAUUAGCUCCAUGGUGGAGAAAAUAAUCACUCCCAACUGCUAUGUGCCUAAACUGGAGCUGCUAAUUAGUACUCAAUAUAUAGCUUAUAUGAAUUCUUUCAAAAUAAGGAGUUAUACAAAUUAUUUGUAUCUUAUUUGGCAUUGUACUAUUAGAAUAAGGAGUUUUAUUUUUGUUGUUGUUAAUCCUCCGGUUUGUAUGUAUGGUAAUAUGACCCUCUUAACCCAAGGGAAAUUUAAAAUAUAAAAGCAUCUGCCGGUUAAGAUUUUUCAUUGCCCA